CUUUACCAUGCGGGCAACCGUGAUAAGGAACCCCGAGUGCCAGCAGAGACUGGCUGUCCAUCAGUGUAAAUAACUGGUGAAGAAAGGGCCGGGCAAGACCGGUGCCAGCCGCCGCGGUAAUACCGGCGGCUCGAGUGGUGACCGUUAUUAUUGGGUCUAAAGGGUCUGUAGCCGGCCGGAUAAGUCUCUUGAGAAAUCUGGCAGCUUAACUGUCAGGCUUUCAGGAGAUACUGUCUGGCUCGAGGCCGGGAGAGGUGAGAGGUACUUCGAGGGGGUAGGGGUGAAAUCUUGUAAUCCUUGAAGGACCACCAGUGGCGAAGGCGUCUCACCAGAACGG
rnacentral:rRNA from 1 species